GCCGGGUGCGGUGGCUCAUACCUGUAAUCCCAGCACUUUGGGAGGCCGAGGCAGGUGGAUCACCUGAGGUCAGGAGUUUGAGACCAGCCUGGCCAACAUGGUGAAACCCUGCCUCUA
rnacentral:SRP_RNA from 1 species